GACGAACGCUGGCGGCGUGCUUAACACAUGCAAGUCGAACGGGAUGAUUUAGAAGCUUGCUUUUAGAGAAUCUAGUGGCAAACGGGUGAGUAACACGUAGACAACCUGCCGACAGGAUGGGGACAACAUUCCGAAAGGAAUGCUAAUACCGAAUGAAGUCAGAGGAGGGCAUCCUCCUCUGAUGAAAGAUGGCCUCUGAAUAUGCUAUCACCUGUUGAUGGGUCUGCGUCUGAUUAGCUAGUUGGUGAGGUAACGGCUCACCAAGGCGACGAUCAGUAGCCAGUCUGAGAGGAUGAACGGCCACAUUGGGACUGAGACACGGCCCAGACUCCUACGGGAGGCAGCAGUGGGGAAUCUUCCGCAAUGGGCGCAAGCCUGACGGAGCAACGCCGCGUGAGUGAAGAAGGUCUUCGGAUCGUAAAGCUCUGUUGACGGGGACGAACGUGCGGGGUGCGAAUAGCGCUUUGUAAUGACGGUACCUGUCGAGGAAGCCACGGCUAACUACGUG
rnacentral:rRNA from 1 species